CUCACGGGUCUCUCACACUCUUAUAUUCUCUCUGCUACCCCCAAGAAGGAUUCACAGGGAGGAUCAUGUGAAGUGCAAAAACCCCUUUUUCUAUUUUCCAAAAAUAAUUUUAACCCAUAAAACCAACGCCUUCAUCAAACUCUUUUCUCCCCAGAGAGAGAAGAAUAAUGUCAUCCAGCGCUUCGAGAUUCAUCAAGUGCGUCACUGUCGGCGACGGCGCUGUUGGCAAAACCUGCAUGCUCAUCUGCUACACAAGCAACAAGUUCCCUACUGAUUAUAUACCCACUGUGUUUGAUAACUUCAGCGCGAAUGUGGUUGUUGAAGGGACCACUGUGAAUUUGGGUCUUUGGGAUACUGCUGGGCAAGAGGAUUAUAAUAGGUUGAGGCCAUUGAGCUACAGAGGGGCUGAUGUCUUCGUGCUGUCCUUCUCUUUGAUCAGCAGGGCGAGUUACGAGAACGUGCUGAAAAAGUGGAUUCCAGAGCUUCAGCAUUUUGCGCCCGGAGUGCCCGUUGUACUUGUUGGUACUAAAUUGGAUCUUCGUGAAGAUAAGCGCUAUUUAUCAGAUCAUCCUGGCUUGGUGCCUGUUACAACUGCUGAGGGAGAAGAACUACGCAAGCAGAUUAGUGCUGCAUAUUACAUUGAGUGCAGCUCAAAAACACAGCAGAAUGUCAAGGCAGUUUUUGAUGCUGCAAUCAAGGUAGUUAUUCAACCUCCAUCGAAGAAGAAGGAGAAGAAGAAGAAGAAAAAGCCGGAGCGUGGAUGUUCAAUAUUGAAUAUCCUCUGUGGGAGGGAACUCACAUCUUAAACAAAGCGACAUAUAAUGGAAUACUGUAGAUUUCAGUUAUGUGCUUCAUGCUCAUUUCAUGACCUUAUAUUUCAUCAGGUACAAUUGAUCGCAUACAUUUUUCAGGGAUGGAAAGUAUACAAAUAUCCCAGGAUAUAUCCAUAUUUGUAUAUGGUAUGAUGUCAUUGAGAUAUCUUUUUUACUGAUUUGGUAGGUUAAAUAUAUGAAGAUAAAUAUAAGUACAAUAUCUAGAUUCAAAUUCUCAUAUUUGGAUGUACAUAUAUGAAUCAUACAAUUGAAAAUAUUUCGCAGUAGAUUGGUGGAUCUGCGACCAUUCUGGAGAUCGUGAGAUAUGUCCUUAUCUUUUUAGAUAUAUCCAACUCAAUGAACUUUGAUUUGAGAAAUUUUCUUUUA